AGAGUUUGAUCCUGGCUCAGAUUGGUUUGAUCCUGGCUCAGAGUGAACGCUGGCGGCAGGCCUAACACAUGCAAGUCGAACGGCAGCGGGUAGGAAGCUUGCUUCCUAUGCCGGCGAGUGGCGGACGGGUGAGGAACACAUCGGAAUCUACUCCGUCGUGGGGGAUAACGUAGGGAAACUUACGCUAAUACCGCAUACGACCUAAGGGUGAAAGUGGGGGACCGCAAGGCCUCACGCGAUGGAAUGAGCCGAUGUCCGAUUAGCUAGUUGGCGGGGUAAAGGCCCACCAAGGCGACGAUCGGUAGCUGGUCUGAGAGGAUGAUCAGCCACACUGGGACAUGAGACACGGCCCAGACUCCUACGGGAGGCAGCAGUGGGGAAUAUUGGACAAUGGGCGAAAGCCUGAUCCAGCCAUGCCGCGUGGGUGAAGAAGGCCUUCGGGUUGUAAAGCCCUUUUGUUGGGGAAGAAAUCC
rnacentral:rRNA from 1 species